GACGAACCGAGCGAACGUUGUUCGGAAUCACUGGGCUUAAAGGGCGCGUAGGCGGGUGCUCAAGUCCGGGGUGAAAUCCUCCAGCUCAACUGGAGAACUGCCUCGGAUACUGGGUGCCUCGAGGGUGGUAGGGGUAUGCGGAACUAUCGGUGGAGCGGUGAAAUGCGUUGAUAUCGAUAGGAACUCCGGUGGCGAAGGCGGCAUACUGGACCGGUAUUGACGCUGAGGCGCGAAAGCUAGGGGAGCAAACGGG
rnacentral:rRNA from 1 species